rnacentral:rRNA from 1 species
GGAAUAUUGCAGAAUGGGGGAAACCCUGAUGCAGCAACGCCGCGUGAUUGAAGAAGUCAUUCGUGAUGUAAAGCUCUAUCAGCAGGGAAGAAAAUGACGGUACCUGAGUAAGAAGCCCCGGCUAACUACGUGCCAGCAGCCGCGGUAAUACGUAGGGGGCAAGCGUUAUCCGGAUUUACUGGGUGUAAAGGGAGCGUAGACGGCCAGACAAGUCUGAAGUGAAAAUCCAGCGCUUAACGUUGGAAGUGCUUUGGAAACUGCCGGGCUAGAGUGCAGGAGGGGCAGGCGGAAUUCCUAGUGUAGCGGUGAAAUGCGUAGAUAUUAGGAGGAACACCAGUGGCGAAGGCGCCCUGCUGGACUGCAACUGACGUUGAGGCUCGAAGGCGUGGGGAGCAAACA